UACGGAGGGGGCUAGCGUUGUUCGGAAUUACUGGGCGUAAAGCGCACGUAGGCGGCUUUGCAAGUCAGAGGUGAAAGCCCGGGGCUCAACCCCGGAAUUGCCUUUGAGACUGCAUCGCUAGAAUUGUGGAGAGGUAAGUGGAAUUCCGAGUGUAGAGGUGAAAUUCGUAGAUAUUGGAAGAACACCAGUGGCGAAGGCGACUUACUGGACACAUAUUGACGCUGAGGUGCGAAAGCGUGGGGAGCAAACAGG
rnacentral:rRNA from 1 species